GGCCUACGGGACGCAGCAGUAGGGAAUUUUCGUCAAUGGGCGCAAGCCUGAACGAGCGAUGCCGCGUGAGUGAAGAAGGCCUUCGGGUCGUAAAGCUCUGUUGCGGGGGAAAAAAGGCAGCAUCAGGAAAUGGGUGCUGACUGAUGGUGCCCCGCCAGAAAGUCACGGCUAACUACGUGCCAGCAGCCGCGGGAAUACGGAGGUGGCGAGCGUUAUCCGGAAUGAUUGGGCGUAAAGGGGGCGCAGGCGGGCCUGCAAGGCUGGAGGGAAACGCACGAGCUCAACUCAUGCAUGGCUUUGGGAAA
rnacentral:rRNA from 1 species